rnacentral:rRNA from 1 species
GACGAACGCUGGCGGCGUGCCUAAUACAUGCAAGUCGAACGCACGGUUUAUACCGUCGCUUGCUACACCAUAGACUGUGAGUUGCGAACGGGUGAGUAACGCGUAGGUAACCUGCCUGGUAGCGGGGGAUAACUAUUGGAAACGAUAGCUAAUACCGCAUAAUAUUAAUUAUUGCAUGAUAAUUAAUUGAAAGGUGCAAUUGCACCACUACCAGAUGGACCUGCGUUGUAUUAGCUAGUAGGUGAGGUAACGGCUCACCUAGGCGACGAUACAUAGCCGACCUGAGAGGGUGAUCGGCCACACUGGGACUGAGACACGGCCCAGACUCCUACGGGAGGCAGCAGUAGGGAAUCUUCGGCAAUGGACGAAAGUCUGACCGAGCAACGCCGCGUGAGUGAAGAAGGUUUUCGGAUCGUAAAGCUCUGUUGUAAGAGAAGAACGGGUGUGAGAGUGGAAAGUUCACACUGUGACGGUAUCUUACCAGAAAGGGACGGCUAACUACG